rnacentral:rRNA from 1 species
AAAUUGAAGAGUUUGAUCAUGGCUCAGAUUGAACGCUGGCGGCAGGCUUAACACAUGCAAGUCGAACGGUAGCAGGAAGGAAGCUUGCUUUCUUUGCUGACGAGUGGCGGACGGGUGAGUAAUGCUUGGGGAUCUGGCUUAUGGAGGGGGAUAACGAUGGGAAACUGUCGCUAAUACCGCGUAAUGUCUAAGGACUAGAGGGUGGGACUUUCGGGCCACCUGCCAUAAGAUGAGC